rnacentral:rRNA from 1 species
UACAGAGGGGCAAGCGUUGUUCGGAAUUACUGGGCGUAAAGGGCGCGUAGGUGGCCUUCUAAGUUGAACGUGAAAUCCCUGGGCUCAACCCAGGAACUGCGUCCAAGACUGGGAGGCUUGAAUCCGGGAGAGGGAUGCGGAAUUCCAGGUGUAGCGGUGAAAUGCGUAGAUAUCAGGAGGAACACCGAUGGCGAAGGCAGGUCACCUGGGCCGCAACUGACGCUGAG